AGUAGUGGGGAGCACCCUGAAAUGGGGCAGCAGUGACCCGCAGUUGUCCCCUUUGAGCUGAGGAGGUGGUGGGAAGGAGGGGAGGGAGAUGCAAGAGCACUGGAGAAGGAGCGCUAGAAAGUUUAAGAGUAUAGAUGAGAACAGAUCCACACUGAGCAAAAAUGAAGUUGACACUCCCAGGGAAGCAACUAUGAAGAAAGAGAAUCUAAUCCAGAAUACCACAUUGCAUUAGUCAUCAUAUCUACUUAGCCUCAUCCAACCUGUGGUGCUUUCUAAUAUUGUUCCUUAUGAAUGUGACACUUUGGAAGGGAACUGGUGAGGCAUUUUGAAGAAUAUCCAUCCACUUAGAUUAACUUAUUUGUCUGAUGUUUUCUCAUGACAAUCUUUGGUUGUGAAUUUUUGGAAAUAACAACAUAGAAGUAAUGUGUCCUUUUACCACAUUAUAUCAGAGUAUAUAUGAUA